rnacentral:rRNA from 1 species
GAUAAACGCUGGCGGCGUGCUUAACACAUGCAAGUCGAACGAAGUUUUUCCUUCGGGAGAAACUUAGUGGCGGACGGGUGAGUAACGCGUGGGUAACCUGCCCUGUACAGGGGGACAACAGCUGGAAACGGCUGCUAAUACCGCAUAAGCCCUUAGCACUGCAUGGUGCAUAGGGAAAAGGAGCAAUCCGGUACAGGAUGGACCCGCGUCUGAUUAGCCAGUUGGCAGGGUAACGGCCUACCAAAGCGACGAUCAGUAGCCGAUCUGAGAGGAUGUACGGCCACAUUGGGACUGAGACACGGCCCAGACUCCUACGGGAAGCAGCAGUGGGGAAUAUUGCACAAUGGAGGAAACUCUGAUGCAGCGACGCCGCGUGAGUGAAGAAGUAUUUCGGUAUGUAAAGCUCUAUCAGCAGGGAAGAAAAUGACGGUACCUGACUAAGAAGCACCGGCUAAAUACGUG